GGUCGGAUGGUGUAGUUGGUCAUCACGUCAGUCUAACAUGCCUAGUCUAGCUCUUGCUAGCUGAGAACUAGACAGUUCCACUGAAGGUCCCCAGUUCAAACCUGGGUUCGAUCA